AGUGAACGCUGGCGGUAGGCCUAACACAUGCAAGUCGAACGGCAGCACAGUAAGAGCUUGCUCUUACGGGUGGCGAGUGGCGGACGGGUGAGGAAUACAUCGGAAUCUACUUUUUCGUGGGGGAUAACGUAGGGAAACUUACGCUAAUACCGCAUACGACCUACGGGUGAAAGCAGGGGAUCUUCGGACCUUGCGCGAUUGAAUGAGCCGAUGUCGGAUUAGCUAGUUGGCGGGGGAAAGGCCCACCAAGGCGCCGAUCCGUAGCUGGUCUGAGAGGAUGGUCGGCCGCACUGGAACUGAGACACGGUCCAGACUACUACGGGAGGGAGCAGUGGGGAAUAUUGGACAAUGGGCGCAAGCCUGAUCCAGCCAUACCGCGUGGGUGAAGAAGGCCUUCGGGUUGUAAAGCCCUUUUGUUGGGAAAGAAAAGCAGCAGGUUAAUACCCCGCUGUUCUGACGGUACCCAAAGAAUAAGCACCGGCUAACUUCGUG
rnacentral:rRNA from 1 species